GCUACAUACCUGAUCUUUCAUGGGGAGUGUAACCCCACUGAUAACAGGUAGAUCUAAACCAUCUCUCAGGUCUUGACCCCCCACAAUCAGUACCUCCAUCUUAUUUGGAUUCAACUUUACAAUUUCUUUGUUGUAAACCACCCAGAGACGUAAUUUUUGGGCGGUAUUAAAAUAUGUAUAACAACAACUUCAGUUUGUUAUCCCUCAUCCAGCCCAUUACUGCCUCCAGGCAGGUAUUUAGAGAAGUUAUGCCAUUUUCUGAUAAUGAGUCAUGGAGAAAUAGAUUUGGGUGUCAUCAGCAUAUUGAUAACACCCUGCACCAAAUCUCCUGGUGAUUUCUCCCAGUGGUUUCAUGUAGAUGUUAUAGAGCAUUGGAGACAGUAUGGAGCCUUAUGACUCCAUACAGUAACAUUUUUGCAGAGCAACAGUCUCCAAAUGACACCAUCUGGAAUCUACCUCUUGGGUAGAUUCCAGAUGGUGAUGUACUUGGAAUAACCAGAAAUGAAGAAUAAUGGGGCACCCAGAGUCUCGGCAGUGCAGGACUUUGAAGGUAUCCAAAUAUGACCAAAAUGUUACGAUUUGCUUUUUUGAAAGGGCGACAAGAGUGUUCAUCAUGAUGUGUAGCUUCUCAUCUUUUAAGUCGUCUGCGGACCGGAAGGCUUCCAGUGGCAGCAGCUCAAGAAAGCCUUCUCUCUGACCUUAACAUUUGUAAACAGACAGGCACAGCCAGGAGGGAACACGCAUAGCAUGUGGAGGACGCAUGCAAGACAACAACACUCAGCAAGUGGAGCAGCAAGGCUUUGCAUGUUGUUGUUGCCCCCUCCUCACCCACACAGCUUUGAAGAGUAACGGAUGAUGAUGGCAGAUAAGAAGAGAAUGGCAGCACGCACGUGUCUCUGGACAUUUCUUUUCCUGUCUGACUCUGUGGCAUGAGAUCGCCGCAUCUAUGUAUGGGCAAGCACAAUCUUCAAAUAAAAUGCUGUCAAUCAA